rnacentral:tRNA from 1 species
GGGGAUAUAGCUCAGUUGGUAGAGUGCAUGCCUAGCAUGUACUAAGGCUCUGGGUUCAAUCCCCAGCACCUCCA